rnacentral:rRNA from 1 species
GGGGAAAGAAGACCCUGUUGAGCUUGACUCUAGUCCGACGUUGUGAAAUGACUUAUGAGGUGUAGAAUAAGUGGGAGGCUUGCCAACGAUGAAAUACCACUACUCGUAAUGUUGUUUUACUUAUUCCAUUAUGUAGAAACUCUUCUUACGAAGUGUUCUAGUCUUAAAUAAUUUUAUAUUAUGAUCUACGUGGGAAACAGCAUCAGGUUGGGAGUUUGGCUGGGGCGGCACAUCUGUUAAACAAUAACACAGGUGUCCUAAGGUCAGCUCAAUGAGAACAGAAAUCUCAUGUAGAACAAAAGGGUAAAAGCUGACUUGAUUUUGAUUUUCAGUACGAAUACAAACUGUGAAAGCAUGGCCUAACGAUCCUUUAGUCUUUCGGAAUUUGAAGCUAGAGGUGUCAGAAAAGUUACCACAGGGAUA